CUAUGCAUUUAUUGUCGGAAGUCUCUACUGACUUGUUGCAGACGUAUCAAAGCUGUUGUCUCUGUGUAAUUCGAAUAAUUCGGACCAAAGUGGAACUUUGUGCUCUUUACAUGAAGCUUCUACCAGAUGUUGAUCCCAUGGAAAUUCUUUCCUACUUGGACCCACAACCAGAUCUGAAUACACCGCCAUCCAGUGGCUCCAGCAACAACAACAAUAAUGACGAUAUACUUUCAACACUAUUCGAUUGAGACAAUUUACUGCAAGAGUUGUUGUAAUUCUAAUGGCAAACACAACUAGAAAAACAAAAAACAAAGCAAACAUCUAAACAAAGUCGAUAAAGCAAAUGCGAGUGUUACGAACAAGCAAAGCAGCCUUUGAGAUGGCACACAUCCAUCAACAGGGUAUCAAGAAAAUGUGAAAGAAAAUGGAGAAAACGGAAAACGGUUGGUUAAAAAAAUAUUGUGAAAAAAGAAACCAAAAUAAAAACGUAGUGAAAAAAGGCAACUUUUGAUGUUUCUGCGAGCAAACCAAACAAAACAAAAAAAAAAAAUACACAAAACAAAUAAAACGAACAAAAUAAAAAUUGCAUACAGAUAUGCUAAAACUUUUGCUGAAAUAGAAGAAUUUCUAUAAUAUUUUUCGUGAAAAUCAAAGUUUAUAUAAACUAAGUAGAAAUCAAAUGAACAAAAAAUGCGACUAUUUUACGUUUUUAUAAUGAAAAUUCUUCAUGCAAAACAAUCAGCAAGCUCAUCCUCAGCAGUAAAGCGUUUCAAAACAACAACUAUAUCGAUAAAUUUCAGUGUAAACUAUGCACAAAUAGUCGAUGUCUCUACAUACAUAAGUAGGCGCUAAUUUUCGAUCUGUAUAUACAUACAUAGAUACAUAUGUAAAUGCAUACAUACAUACUUAGUAUUAUUAAUGUUUGCCAAUAAUGUUUGUGCAUGUUUUUCAAUCAUCAUCAUCAUCGUCAUCAUCAUUGCCGAACUCUACAGGCGCUUUGGCUUUGAAACUAUGCAGAGAGUAUGCACAAUUUUGCGAGAAUUUUCAAUACAAUUUACACAAAUACAAGUAGCAAAAAAUAUCUCCGUGUGCAGCUUGUAAAAUUGUGAAAGCUUUAGAGAGGUAAAGCUUUCAUGUAAGUAAAAUAUGUAGAAGCUUAUGAAAUUUCGUAAGCUUUCGCAAGCUUACAACGAAAUCACAAACAAGUCGUGCUUUGAUGUCUAAAAACAAAAAGAUGUAGUUAAA